rnacentral:tRNA from 1 species
GCCUCCGUAGCUCAGUGGAUAGAGCGAGGGCGUCCUAAGCCUUGCGUCGGGAGUUCGAUUCUCUCCGGGGGCA